rnacentral:rRNA from 1 species
CUCGUAGGUGGAACGUUAAGUCCGGUCUGAAAGCCCCCGGCUCAACCGGGGAGGGUGGCUGGAAACUGGCGUUCUUGAGGGCGAGAGAGGAGGGUGGAAUUCCUGGUGUAGCGGUGAAAUGCGUAGAGAUCAGGAGGAACACCCGUGGCGAAGGCGGCCCUCUGGCUCGACCCUGACGCUGAGGCGCGAAAGCGUGGGGAGCGAAG